AAAGAGAAGACAGAAGGAAAAAAUGCACGGUGAGGGGAGAGAGACAGAGAGUGAUAAAGAGAAGAAAAGAAAGGGAGAACUGCCAUCAAACGAGGAAGAAGAGAAAGAAGGAGAAGAAGAUGACGGAGAGAGAAGUUGCCACCGCCACUUUCUUCACCUCCAGCACCGUCUCUGCCUUGCGCUGUUGUUGUUGUUUCUACCUUGCGCUGCCAGAUCUGCCACUACUGUAAUCCCUCUUCUCUGCUCGUCGUCGUCAUGUUUCUCAUUACUCGAGCUCACGCCUUGUUCUGCUCUGCUCCGUCGUGUUUUUCUGCUCGCGCCUUUCUGAAACCUUUGCUCUGCUCCGCCGUGGUGCCGUGCUCUAUCCUCUCAGGCAAAUCAACAACUCUCCGCCGUUCUCCUCUUUCACUCAAGCCUCUCGCCUCAGCCUUGGUCCUCAGCAUCUCUUCCUCCAUCGUCGUCGUUGAAGGCUUGUAGAUUGAUUUUACAUACUACUUGAUUAAUUUAGUUGAAUUAAUAACAAUAGUUCCAUUUCGAGCUCGAUCAUGUCGAAGGACAAAGACUUUACCGAUUUGUCGCUCACCUUCAAAUACCUCUUAGGCAUCUUAUGGCUCUGUGUUUUCCUCUGAAGAUUAUCAAAGAAGUGUUACUAAUGGUGAGCUUCAAAAAAAGAUGAAUGAUGAAAAAAAGAUUACAAGGUGCUGCACUUGCUCUAUUCUGUUUAUUUUUAAGAACAUUGUCUUACUCCUCUACACAAUCAGUGGUUUGAGUUAUCUUCAGUUUAUUUAUCAAUAAAAAGUUUGGAAAUAUUGAUAGUGCACUAAUUAUAUAUAACUAAUUCACAUGAAUUAAUUUUUAUGGGAGAAUCGAUUUCCCUCUGUUCUUCACAAUGCACAUUCAUGUAUGGCAUUUUACUAAGCUGAUGAAAAGCUUUUUUGUUAGCUGAAACUUCUGCUCUUCUCCGCCAUUUUGAAAUCUCUUCUCUGCCAUUUUGAAAUCUCUGACUUGCACUGCCAUUGCCAUUUCUACCUGCGCUGCCGGAUCCGCCGCUGCUGUAAUCCCUCUUUUCCGCCUUGCGCUACCUGAGUCGUCUCUGGUCGUCAUCGCUGCUUGAUGGUUGUCGUCGGCUCGCCAAUGCCUCACGUCCUCGCUGCUCUGCCUGAGCUGUCUCUGCUGUAAUCCUUACUGCUCGCUGUAAUCAUGUCUUAGGUUAGGAUUUUUUCUCCUCUGUAAUCUUAGGAAGCUAAUUCUAUUCUCAAAUUGGGGAAAUUGAGGAAUGUGUUUAGGAUGUAUAUAUGUUCUUUGAGAGGGUCUAGUGUAUGUGCUUAUUGAAUAUGCUUUUUCGAGUUGCUAGCAUAUAAUGCUAUGCUUUGAGGUUCGAGGCCCAAACAUGUUCAGAAACAACUCUUGUGGUUAGUACGGGCAACAGCAGAAGCUUUCAGAGUUGCUGAUGCUCCUGCCAAGGUUUUCUUUCUUCUGAUG